rnacentral:rRNA from 1 species
AGUUGGAGAGACGGAGCCGAAGCGAAAGCGAGUCUUAAUAGGGCGAUAGUAGGAUAUCGUAGACCCGAAACCAGGUGAUCUAGCCAUGACCAGGUUGAAGUUCAGGUGAAACUGAAUGGAGGACCGAACCGACCACCGUUGAAAAGUUGGCGGAUGAGUUGUGGCUAGGGGAGAAAUUCCAAUCGAACCUGGAGAUAGCUGGUUCUCCCCGAAAUAGCUUUAGGGCUAGCGUCGGGCGAUGGGACACGGAGGUAGAGCACUGAACGUACGAUGGCGCCAUCCCGGUGUACUGAGUAUGAUCAAACUGCGAAUGCCGUGUCAGAGGAGCCCGGCAGUCAGACCAUGGGUGAUAAGGUCCGUGGUCGAGAGGGAAACAGCCCAGACCGCCAGAUAAGGUCCCAAAAUACAUGCUAAGUGGAAAAGGAUGUGGGGAUGCACAGACAACUAGGAGGUUGGCUCAGAAGCAGCCAUCCUUCAAAGAGUGCGUAACAGCUCACUAGUCGAGUGACCCUGCGCCGAAAAUGUACCGGGGCUAAGCAUGAUACCGAAGCUGCGGAUUCGUAAGGAUGGUAGGGGAGCGUUGCAUGCACGUGGAAGCCGUACCGGAAGGAACGGUGGAGAGCAUGGAAGAGAGAAUGCCGGUGUGAGUAGCGAGAUGCAGGUGAGAAUCCUGCACACCGAAAGCCCAAGGAUUCCAGGGGAAGGUUCGUCCGCCCUGGGUAAGUCGGGACCUAACGCGAGGCCGAAAGGCGUAGUGGAUGGAAAACAGGCAGAUAUUCCUGUACCCGUAAUGCAAGUGAUGGAGUGACGGAGAAGGCUAGUGUGACCCUAUGAAUGGAUUUAGGGCGAAGCGGAGCAGCAGGCUUACAGUGAAAUGCGUAAGCGAGAUGCAGGACGCGAAAGGUAAGCGAACGCGCGAGCAAGUAGCGAAGCACAUGAGGCCAGCUUCCAAGAAAAGCUUCUGGCGCAAAUUGGAUUACGGCCCGUACCAAAACCGACACAGGUGGGCAAGGAGAGUAUCCUAAGGUGAGCGAGAGAACUGUUGCCAAGGAACUCGGCAAAAAUACUCCGUAAGUUCGCGAGAAGGAGUGCUCUUGAGAGAGAGCCGCAGCGAAGAGGCCCAAGCGACUGUUUAACUAAAACACAGCUCUCUGCGAAGUCGCAAGACGAAGUAUAGGGGGUGACGCCUGCCCGGUGCUGGAAGGUUAAGGGGAGGAGUUAUCGAAAGAGAAGCUCUGAACCGAAGCCCCAGUGAACGGCGGCCGUAACUAUAACGGUCCUAAGGUAGCGAAAUUCCUUGUCAGGUAAGUUCUGACCCGCACGAAAGGCGUAACGAUUUGGGCGCUGUCUCGGCAGCAGACUCGGUGAAAUCUUAGUACCUGUGAAAAUGCAGGUUACCCGCAACUAGACGGAAAGACCCCAUGGAGCUUUACUGCAGCCUGAUAUUGGAUUUUGAUUCAGCAUGUACAGGAUAGGUGGGAGACUGAGAGACAUGCACGCCAGUGUAUGAGGAGUCGACGUUGGGAUACCACUCUUGCUGGAUCGGAGUUCUAACCUGUGCGCCUGGAACGGCGCAAGGGAGAGUGUCAGGCGGGCAGUUUGACUGGGGCGGUCGCCUCCCAAAGAGUAACGGAGGCGCCCAAAGGUACGCUCAGAUUGGUUGGAAAUCAAUUGAAGAGUGCAAAUGCAGAAGCGUGCUUGACUGUGAGAGCAACAACUCGAACAGGGACGAAAGUCGGGAUUAGUGAUCCGGCGGUGCCGAAUGGAAGGGCCGUCGCUCAACGGAUAAAAGCUACCCUGGGGAUAACAGGCUGAUCUCGCCCAAGAGUUCACAUCGACGGCGAGGUUUGGCACCUCGAUGUCGGCUCAUCGCAUCCUGGAGCUGAAUUCGGUUCCAAGGGUUGGGCUGUCCGCCCAUUAAAGCGGUACGCGAGCUGGGUUCAGAACGUCGUGAGACAGUUCGGUCCCUAUCUGUUGUGGGCGCAGGAAAUUUGAGGAGAACUGACACUAGUACGAGAGGACCGUGUUGGACAGACCGCUGGUUUAUCAGUUGUUCCGCCAGGGGCAUAGCUGAGUAUCUAAGUCUGGAAAGGAUAAGUGCUGAAAGCAUCUAAGUACGAAGCCAACUUCAAGAUGAGAUUUCCCUGAAGGGUCGU